AUUGAACGCUGGCGGCAGGCCUAACACAUGCAAGUCGAGCGAGCGGCGGACGGGUGAGUAAUGUCUGGGAAACUGCCUGAUGGAGGGGGAUAACUACUGGAAACGGUAGCUAAUACCGCAUACCAUCAGAUGUGCCCAGAUGGGAUUAGCUAGUAGGUGGGGUAACGGCUCACCUAGGCGACGAUCCCUAGCUGGUCUGCGAGGAUGACCAGCCGCACUGGAACUGAGACACGGUCCCGACUCAUCGGGGAAGCAGCAGUGGGGAAUGUUGCACAAUGGGCGCAAUCCUGGUACAGCCGUGCCGCGUGUGUUAAGAAAGCCUUCGGGGUGUAAAGCACUUUCAGCGGGGAGGCGUUACCCGCAGAAGAAGCACCGGCUAACUCCGUGCCAGCAGCCGCGGUAAUAC
rnacentral:rRNA from 1 species